CUUGGUCAUUUAGAGGAAGUAAAAGUCGUAACAAGGUCUCCGUUGGUGAACCAGCGGAGGGAUCAUUACCGAGUUUACAACUCCCAAACCCCUGUGAACAUACCUAUACGUUGCCUCGGCGGAUCAGCCCGCGCCCCGUAAAACGGGACGGCCCGCCCGAGGACCCCUAAACUCUGUUUUUAGUGGAACUUCUGAGUAAAACAAACAAAUAAAUCAAAACUUUCAACAACGGAUCUCUUGGUUCUGGCAUCGAUGAAGAACGCAGCAAAAUGCGAUAAGUAAUGUGAAUUGCAGAAUUCAGUGAAUCAUCGAAUCUUUGAACGCACAUUGCGCCCGCCAGUAUUCUGGCGGGCAUGCCUGUUCGAGCGUCAUUUCAACCCUCAAGCUCAGCUUGGUGUUGGGACUCGCGGUAACCCGCGUUCCCCAAAUCGAUUGGCGGUCACGUCGAGCUUCCAUAGCGUAGUAAUCAUACACCUCGUUACUGGUAAUCGUCGCGGCCACGCCGUUAAACCCCAACUUCUGAAUGUUGACCUCGGAUCAGGUAGGAAUACCCGCUGAACUUAAGCAUAUCAAUAAGCGGAGGAA
rnacentral:rRNA from 1 species